GGGAAUGUGGCUUAGCGGUAGAGUGCUUGCCUAGCAUGCAUGUAGCCCUUGGUUCGAUUCCUCACUACCA
rnacentral:tRNA from 1 species